rfam:Myotis brandtii contig325279, whole genome shotgun sequence.
AGGCCGGGAGAGAGAGGCAGGGUGUGAUCCACAGCCUCCAUGGCAGCUGUUGAUCAGCCAUUGCCUCUCUCUUUCUCUCCG